AAUAUUGGACAAUGGGCGCAAGCCUGACCCCGCCAUGCCGCGUGAGUGAUGAAGGCCCUAGGGUUGUAAAGCUCUUUCAUCGGGGAAGAUAAUGACGGUAACCGAAGAAGAAGCACUGGCCAACUCCGUACCAGCAGCCGCGGUAAUACGAAGGGGGCUAGCGUUGGUCGGAAUUACUGGGCGUAAAGCGCACGUAGGCAGAUUGGUCAGUUAGGGGUGAAAUCCCAGGGCUCAACCCUGGAACUGCCUUUAAUACUGCCGGUCUAGAGUUCGAGAGAGGGGAGUGGAAUUCCGAGUGUAGGGGUGAAAUUCGUAGAUAUUCGGAGGAACUCCAGUGGCGAAGGCGGCUCACUGGCUCGAUACUGACGCUGAGGUGCGAAAACGUGGGGAGCAAACA
rnacentral:rRNA from 1 species